rnacentral:rRNA from 1 species
UCGAACGAUGAAGCCGCUUCGGUGGUGGAUUAGUGGCGAACGGGUGAGUAACACGUGGGCAAUCUGCCCUUCACUCUGGGACAAGCCCUGGAAACGGGGUCUAAUACCGGAUAAUACUCUGUUCCGCAUGGAACGGGGUUGAAAGCUCCGGCGGUGAAGGAUGAGCCCGCGGCCUAUCAGCUUGUUGGUGGGGUAAUGGCCUACCAAGGCGACGACGGGUAGCCGGCCUGAGAGGGCGACCGGCCACACUGGGACUGAGACACGGCCCAGACUCCUACGGGAGGCAGCAGUGGGGAAUAUUGCACAAUGGGCGAAAGCCUGAUGCAGCGACGCCGCGUGAGGGAUGACGGCCUUCGGGUUGUAAACCUCUUUCAGCAGGGAAGAAGCGCAAGUGACGGUACCUGCAGAAGAAGCGCCGGCUAACUACGUGCCAGCAGCCGCGGUAAUACGUAGGGCGCAAGCGUUGUCCGGAAUUAUUGGGCGUAAAGAGCUCGUAGGCGGCUUGUCACGUCGGAUGUGAAAGCCCGGGCUUAACCCCGGGUCUGCAUUCGAUACGGGCUAGCUAGAGUGUGGUAGGGGAGAUCG